GAUGAACGCUGGCGGCGUGCCUAACACAUGCAAGUCGAACGGAGAUUACGGACGGAAGUUUUCGGAUGGAAGACUGUAAUUCUUAGUGGCGGACGGGUGAGUAACGCGUGGGCAACCUGCCCUAUACAGGGGGAUAGCAGCUGGAAACGGCUGGUAAGACCGCAUAAGUCGGUUAAAUCGCAUGAUUUGAUCGGGAAAUGAGCAAUCAGGUAUAGGAUGGGCCCGCGUCCGAUUAGCCAGUUGGCAGGGUAAAAGCCUACCAAAGCGACGAUCGGUAGCCGGACUGAGAGGUCGGACGGCCACAUUGGGACUGAGACACGGCCCAAACUCCUACGGGAGGCAGGAGUGGGGGAUAUUGCACAAUGGAGGAAACUCUGAUGCAGCGACGCCGCGUGAGUGAAGAAGUAUUUCGGUAUGUAAAGCUCUAUCAGCAGGGAAGAUGAUGACGGUACCUGACUAAGAAGCCCCGGCUAACUACGUG
rnacentral:rRNA from 1 species